CUGAUCUAGAUUAGCAUGCAUGUGUAAGUAUAAAUAUUUCUACUUUGAACCGGCAAUGGGUCCUUUAUUUCAGUAAUAGUUAAUUGAAGAAAAUGUACUACUUGGAAACCCGAAUAAUUUCUAAGCUAAUAACUGGACAAUUCCCCCAAUUUUGAAAAGGGGAGUUAAUAAAAAGGAAACCCAUAUGCUCUGGCUGGAUAGGAAGAAAAAAAAACCUUUCUUAUCGAUGGUUAAAAUAACGAUAGUUCUUUAAGUUUCUGCCCUAUCAGCUUUCGAUGGAAGGGAUUGGAACUACCUGGGCAGAACGGGUAACGAAAAAUUUGGGGUCCAAUUUCGAAAAGGAAGCCUGAAAAACGCUUACCACUCCCAAGGAAGGCAGCAGGCGCGUAAAUUUACCCAUCCCUGGACAUAGGAAGGUAGGGACAAUAAAUCACCAAUGCGGAAACUUCUGUUUUUUGCAAUUGAUAUUGAAAACAAUGUAAAAGAGUAUAUCAUAUAAACAAUGGGGGGGGAAGUCUCUGUGCCCAGCAGCGCGCGUAAUUCCCCAGUCCCCAAUAGCGUAUAUUAACGUUGUUGCAUUAAAAAAAACCUACAA
rnacentral:rRNA from 1 species